GGUGGGGUUCCCGAGCGGCCAAAGGGAGCAGACUGUAAAUCUGCCGUCAUCGACUUCGAAGGUUCGAAUCCUUCCCCCACCAGCA
rnacentral:tRNA from 1 species